UUGCUUUACUAUGACUAUGGUCUGAGUUGGUGUACCCUAGAACACACUAGACUUGCAGAAAAAGCAUCAUCCUCUUGAGACAUGACUGCCGCAGCACCAGCAGUUUAUGCGCAGUUUUCCUCUGAUAGUUCCUGGCACAGUUGCCACAGCAAUAGUGACUGGAUAGUGUCAUUAUCUCCUGUAACAGUAAGAGAAGCUCCACAACUGGGAUAUUGUUUAACUGACAGAGAGAUUUCUGCUGGACACUAAGUACUACUACAAGU